AUUUCAACUAUGUACACAUUUCACAUUGAAAAACAUAUUAUGAAUUUUUACAUAUAAGGAUACUAAAAGGUAAGUACUGACAAUUUUCCUUCUUAAGAGUAAACAAUAUGUUGUGAAAUGCCUCUGUGACAUACUGUGCUCUCCCCUAGAGCUGAUACAACUCUAAAAUAGACAUAUUUGCAGAAAAUAUUCUCAUUUAUAUUAAUGUAGCCAUAUUGCUUCUCUAAGGAAAUAUUUAUAAACAUUGCUACUGUGUUCCAGAAAUGUUUUAAGAAGAAAAUCAUUGUAUAUGAAUCCUCUACAAUGGAAAAUAUUAUAAUAACGUUUCCCCUGAUAGAAUUCAAAAUUGUGCAUGUCACAGUAAACAAAGUGAUAUGAGUUCUGCAUCAGAGCCUAGGGCUAUGGCUGGGGUGUCAUGAUUCAUUUUCAGUUCGUUAUUAGCACUUAUUGCCUGUCUGACACCAGACAAGCUAUUCAAACUACUGGAUUCUUCCUAUUUUAUUUAUUUUAUUUUAUUUUAUAAUAUUUAUUGCCAGAGUUCACAGCCAGCAUUGGCUGUGGCAGGAAACUCAGAGCACCCAGAAGCUUCAGUACACCAGUUGGAGACCUGUCUAAAUGAGAAAGAAAUGGUAUAUCAUUUCACAGUGUACCCUGAAG